AUUAGACGAAUCAUCUGGAAAGAUGAAUCAAAGAAGGUAAUAAUCCUGUAGUCGAAAAUGUUGUCUCUCUUGAGUGGAUCCUGAGUACGACGGAGCACGUGAAAUUCCGUCGGAAUCUGGGAGGACCAUCUCCUAAGGCUAAAUACUCUCUAGUGACCGAUAGUGAACCAGUACCGUGAGGGAAAGGUGAAAAGCACCCCGGAAGGGGAGUGAAAUAGAACCUGAAACCGUGUGCUUACAAGUAGUCAGAGCCCGUUAAUGGGUGAUGGCGUGCCUUUUGUAGAAUGAACCGGCGAGUUACGAUUUGAUGCAAGGUUAAGCAGUAAAUGUGGAGCCGUAGCGAAAGCGAGUCUGAAUAGGGCGUUUAGUAUUUGGUCGUAGACCCGAAACCAGGUGAUCUACCCUUGGUCAGGUUGAAGUUCAGGUAACACUGAAUGGAGGACCGAACCGACUUACGUUGAAAAGUGAGCGGAUGAACUGAGGGUAGCGGAGAAAUUCCAAUCGAACCUGGAGAUAGCUGGUUCUCUCCGAAAUAGCUUUAGGGCUAGCCUCAAGUGAUGAUUAUUGGAGGUAGAGCACUGUUUGGACGAGGGGCCCCUCUCGGGUUACCGAAUUCAGACAAACUCCGAAUGCCAAUUAAUUUAACUUGGGAGUCAGAACAUGGGUGAUAAGGUCCGUGUUCGAAAGGGAAACAGCCCAGACCACCAGCUAAGGUCCCAAAAUAUAU
rnacentral:rRNA from 1 species